rnacentral:rRNA from 1 species
GACGAACGCUGGCGGCGUGCUUAACACAUGCAAGUCGAACGGUAAGGCCCUUCGGGGUACACGAGUGGCGAACGGGUGAGUAACACGUGGGUGAUCUGCCCUGCACUUCGGGAUAAGCCUGGGAAACUGGGUCUAAUACCGGAUAGGACCACUGCCUGCAUGGGUGGUGGUGGAAAGCUUUUGCGGUGUGGGAUGGGCCCGCGGCCUAUCAGCUUGUUGGUGGGGUGAUGGCCUACCAAGGCGACGACGGGCAGCCGGCCUGAGAGGGUGACCGGCCACGCGAGGACAGAGAUACGGCCCAGACUGAUGCGGGAGGCAGCAGUGGUGAGUAAUGCAAAAUGGGCGCAAGACUGAGGCAUCGACGCCGCGUGGGGGAUGACGGCCUUCGGGUUGAAAACCUCUUUCAGCACCGACGAAGCGCAAGUGACGGUAGGUGCAGAAGAAGGACCGGACAACUACGUGCCAGCCGCCGCCGUAA